UACAAGCCUGGGAACAUAGCAUUUCAAAGA
rnacentral:piRNA from 1 species